rnacentral:rRNA from 1 species
UACGGGGGGGGCAAGCGUUGUUCGGAAUUACUGGGCGUAAAGGGCUCGUAGGCGGCCAACUAAGUCGGACGUGAAAUCCCCAGGCUCAACCUGGGAACUGCGUCCGAUACUGGAUGGCUUGAAUCCGGGAGAGGGAUGUGGAAUUCCAGGUGUAGCGGUGAAAUGCGUAGAUAUCAGGAGGAAUACCGGUGGCGAAAGCGACUCUCUGGACGGCAACUGACGCUGAGGCACGAAAGCGUGGGGAGCGAACAGG